rnacentral:rRNA from 1 species
GGGUUGUGAGGUUAAGCGACUAAGCGUACACGGUGGAUGCCCUGGCAGUCAGAGGCGAUGAAGGACGUGCUAAUCUGCGAUAAGCGUCGGUAAGGUGAUAUGAACCGUUAUAACCGGCGAUUUCCGAAUGGGGAAACCCAGUGUGAUUCGUCACACUAUCAUUAACUGAAUCCAUAGGUUAAUGAGGCGAACCGGGGGAACUGAAACAUCUAAGUACCCCGAGGAAAAGAAAUCAACCGAGAUUCCCCCAGUAGCGGCGAGCGAACGGGGAGCAGCCCAGAGCCUGAAUCAGUGUGUGUGUUAGUGGAAGCGUCUGGAAAGGCGUGCGAUACAGGGUGACAGCCCCGUACACAAAAAUGCACAUAUUGUGAGCUCGAUGAGUAGGGCGGGACACGUGGUAUCCUGUCUGAAUAUGGGGGGACCAUCCUCCAAGGCUAAAUACUCCUGACUGACCGAUAGUGAACCAGUACCGUGAGGGAAAGGCGAAAAGAACCCCGGCGAGGGGAGUGAAAAAGAACCUGAAACCGUGUACGUACAAGCAGUGGGAGCACGCUUAGGCGUGUGACUGCGUACCUUUUGUAUAAUGGGUCAGCGACUUAUAUUCUGUAGCAAGGUUAACCGAAUAGGGGAGCCGAAGGGAAACCGAGUCUUAACUGGGCGUUAAGUUGCAGGGUAUAGACCCGAAACCCGGUGAUCUAGCCAUGGGCAGGUUGAAGGUUGGGUAACACUAACUGGAGGACCGAACCGACUAAUGUUGAAAAAUUAGCGGAUGACUUGUGGCUGGGGGUGAAAGGCCAAUCAAACCGGGAGAUAGCUGGUUCUCCCCGAAAGCUAUUUAGGUAGCGCCUCGUGAAUUCAUCUCCGGGGGUAGAGCACUGUUUCGGCAAGGGGGUCAUCCCGACUUACCAACCCGAUGCAAACUGCGAAUACCGGAGAAUGUUAUCACGGGAGACACACGGCGGGUGCUAACGUCCGUCGUGAAGAGGGAAACAACCCAGACCGCCAGCUAAGGUCCCAAAGUCAUGGUUAAGUGGGAAACGAUGUGGGAAGGCCCAGACAGCCAGGAUGUUGGCUUAGAAGCAGCCAUCAUUUAAAGAAAGCGUAAUAGCUCACUGGUCGAGUCGGCCUGCGCGGAAGAUGUAACGGGGCUAAACCAUGCACCGAAGCUGCGGCAGCGACACUAUGUGUUGUUGGGUAGGGGAGCGUUCUGUAAGCCUGUGAAGGUGUACUGUGAGGUAUGCUGGAGGUAUCAGAAGUGCGAAUGCUGACAUAAGUAACGAUAAAGCGGGUGAAAAGCCCGCUCGCCGGAAGACCAAGGGUUCCUGUCCAACGUUAAUCGGGGCAGGGUGAGUCGACCCCUAAGGCGAGGCCGAAAGGCGUAGUCGAUGGGAAACAGGUUAAUAUUCCUGUACUUGGUGUUACUGCGAAGGGGGGACGGAGAAGGCUAUGUUGGCCGGGCGACGGUUGUCCCGGUUUAAGCGUGUAGGCUGGUUUUCCAGGCAAAUCCGGAAAAUCAAGGCUGAGGCGUGAUGACGAGGCACUACGGUGCUGAAGCAACAAAUGCCCUGCUUCCAGGAAAAGCCUCUAAGCAUCAGGUAACAUCAAAUCGUACCCCAAACCGACACAGGUGGUCAGGUAGAGAAUACCAAGGCGCUUGAGAGAACUCGGGUGAAGGAACUAGGCAAAAUGGUGCCGUAACUUCGGGAGAAGGCACGCUGAUAUGUAGGUGAAGUCCCUCGCGGAUGGAGCUGAAAUCAGUCGAAGAUACCAGCUGGCUGCAACUGUUUAUUAAAAACACAGCACUGUGCAAACACGAAAGUGGACGUAUACGGUGUGACGCCUGCCCGGUGCCGGAAGGUUAAUUGAUGGGGUCAGCGCAAGCGAAGCUCUUGAUCGAAGCCCCGGUAAACGGCGGCCGUAACUAUAACGGUCCUAAGGUAGCGAAAUUCCUUGUCGGGUAAGUUCCGACCUGCACGAAUGGCGUAAUGAUGGCCAGGCUGUCUCCACCCGAGACUCAGUGAAAUUGAACUCGCUGUGAAGAUGCAGUGUACCCGCGGCAAGACGGAAAGACCCCGUGAACCUUUACUAUAGCUUGACACUGAACAUUGAGCCUUGAUGUGUAGGAUAGGUGGGAGGCUUUGAAGUGUGGACGCCAGUCUGCAUGGAGCCGACCUUGAAAUACCACCCUUUAAUGUUUGAUGUUCUAACGUUGACCCGUAAUCCGGGUUGCGGACAGUGUCUGGUGGGUAGUUUGACUGGGGCGGUCUCCUCCUAAAGAGUAACGGAGGAGCACGAAGGUUGGCUAAUCCUGGUCGGACAUCAGGAGGUUAGUGCAAUGGCAUAAGCCAGCUUGACUGCGAGCGUGACGGCGCGAGCAGGUGCGAAAGCAGGUCAUAGUGAUCCGGUGGUUCUGAAUGGAAGGGCCAUCGCUCAACGGAUAAAAGGUACUCCGGGGAUAACAGGCUGAUACCGCCCAAGAGUUCAUAUCGACGGCGGUGUUUGGCACCUCGAUGUCGGCUCAUCACAUCCUGGGGCUGAAGUAGGUCCCAAGGGUAUGGCUGUUCGCCAUUUAAAGUGGUACGCGAGCUGGGUUUAGAACGUCGUGAGACAGUUCGGUCCCUAUCUGCCGUGGGCGCUGGAGAACUGAGGGGGGCUGCUCCUAGUACGAGAGGACCGGAGUGGACGCAUCACUGGUGUUCGGGUUGUCAUGCCAAUGGCACUGCCCGGUAGCUAAAUGCGGAAGAGAUAAGUGCUGAAAGCAUCUAAGCACGAAACUUGCCCCGAGAUGAGUUCUCCCUGACUCCUUGAGAGUCCUGAAGGAACGUUGAAGACGACGACGUUGAUAGGCCGGGUGUGUAAGCGCAGCGAUGCGUUGAGCUAACCGGUACUAAUGAACCGUGAGGCUUAACCUUACAACGCCGAAG